rnacentral:rRNA from 1 species
UACGAAGGGACCUAGCGUAGUUCGGAAUUACUGGGCUUAAAGAGUUCGUAGGUGGUUAAAAAAGUUGAUGGUGAAAUCCCAAGGCUCAACCUUGGAACUGCCAUCAAAACUUUUUAGCUAGAGUGUGAUAGAGGAAAGUGGAAUUUCUAGUGUAGAGGUGAAAUUCGUAGAUAUUAGAAAGAACAUCAAAAGCGAAGGCAACUUUCUGGAUCAUUACUGACACUGAGGAACGAAAGCAUGGGUAGCGAAGAGGAUUAGAUACCCUCGUAGUCCAUGCCGUAAACGAUGUGUGCUAGACGUUGGAAACUUAGUUUUCAGUGUCGCAGCGAAAGCAUUAAGCACACCGCCUGGGGAGUACGACCGCAAGGUUAAAACUCAAAUGAAUUGACGGGGACCCGCACAAGUAGUGGAGCAUGUGGUUUAAUUCGAAGAUACGCGCAGAACCUUACCAACACUUGACAUGUUCGUCGCGACUCUGAGAGAUCAGAGUUUUCGGUUCGGCCGGACGAAACACAGGUGCUGCAUAGCUGUCGUCAGCUCGUGUCGUGAGAUGUUGGGUUAAGUCCCGCAACGAGCGCAACCCCUACCUUUAGUUGCCACCAUUAAGUUGGGCACUUUAAAGGAACUGCCAGUGAUAAGCUGGAGGAAGGUGGGGAUGACGUCAAGUCCUCAUGGCCCUUACGUGUUGGGCUACACACGUGCUACAAUGGCACUUACAGUGGGAAGCUAAGACGCGAGUCCAAGCUAAUCCCUAAAAUGUGCCUCAGUUCGGAUUGCACUCUGUAACUCGAGUGCAUGAAGCUGGAAUUACUAGUAAUCGCGGAUCAGCGCGCCGCGGUGAAUACGUUCCCGGGUCU